UCGAUGCAACGCGAAAAACCUUACCUACCCUUGACAUGUCUGGAAUCCUGAAGAGAUUUGGGAGUGCUCGAAAGAGAGCCAGAACACAGGUGCUGCAUGGCCGUCGUCAGCUCGUGUCGUGAGAUGUUGGGUUAAGUCCCGCAACGAGCGCAACCCUUGUCAUUAGUUGCUACGAAAGGGCACUCUAAUGAGACUGCCGGUGACAAACCGGAGGAAGGUGGGGAUGACGUCAGGUCAUCAUGGCCCUUAUGGGUAGGGCUACACACGUCAUACAAUGGCCGGGACAGAGGGCUGCCAACCCGCGAGGGGGAGCUAAUCCCAGAAACCCGGUCGUAGUCCGGAUCGUAGUCUGCAACUCGACUGCGUGAAGUCGGAAUCGCUAGUAAUCGCGGAUCAGCUUGCCGCGGUGAAUACGUUCCCGGGUCUUGUACACACCGCCCGUCACACCAUGGGAGCGGGUUCUGCCAGAAGUAGUUAGCCUAACCGCAAGGGGGGCG
rnacentral:rRNA from 1 species